AAACCCUUUCAAAAUCAAAAACUCUCUCUCUCUUAAACAUAGCUCGGCCGAACACCCUCUUACAACAUCCAUUUAAAAUUUCAAUCUUGUUCUUGAAGAUUCAUGUUCAUACAAUCUUGUUUCAAGUCCAUUUGAAGAUUUAAGAGUGUUUCCAAGGAGUUUCAAGCUAGAAUCAAGUUCCAUAUCAUCAUUUUUAUCAAAACACACUAAGAAUCUUGAAGGUACUUGAGUUCGGCUUCGAGAAUUAUGGUGUAUCUUGUGUUUGUUGAUGCAUGUUUGGUUUGAUAAUGUAUUGUACAAACUUUUAAAACAAUUUGGGACCAAUUUAAUAAGAUCCAUAAUGAUCAAAACAAAACUUAA